CCUACGGGUGGCAGCAGUGAGGAAUAUUGGUCAAUGGCCGUAAGGCUGAACCAGCCAAGUAGCGUGAGGGAAGACUGCCCUAUGGGUUGUAAACCUCUUUUAUGCGGGGAUAAAGGUGUCCACGUGUGGAUGUUUGCAGGUACCGCAUGAAUAAGGACCGGCUAAUUCCGUGCCAGCAGCCGCGGUAAUACGGAAGGUCCGGGCGUUAUCCGGAUUUAUUGGGUUUAAAGGGAGCGUAGGCCGGUCUUUAAGCGUGCCGUGAAAUUUUGUGGCUCAACCAUGGUAGUGCGGCGCGAACUGGAGACCUAGAGUGCGCGGACGGCAGGCGGAAUUCGUGGUGUAGCGGUGAAAUGCUGAGAGAUCACAAAGAACCCCGAUUGCGAAGGCAGCCUGCCGCAGCGUUACUGACGCUGAAGCUCGAAAGCGCGGGGAUCGAACAGGAUUAGAGACCCCUGUAGUC
rnacentral:rRNA from 1 species